UGGGGAAUAUUGCACAAUGGGGGAAACCCUGAUGCAGCAACGCCGCGUGAAGGAAGACGGUUUUCGGAUUGUAAACUUCUUUUCUUAGUGAAGAAACAAACGACGGUAGCUAAGGAAUAAGCAUCGGCUAACUAUGUGCCAGCAGCCGCGGUAAUACGUAGGAUGCGAGCGUUAUCCGGAUUUACUGGGUGUAAAGGGAGCGCAGGCGGGACUGCAAGUUGGAUGUGAAAUACCGCAGCUUAACUGCGGAGCUGCAUCCAAAAACUGUAGUUCUUGAGUGGAGUAGAGGCAAGCGGAAUUCCGAGUGUAGCGGUGAAAUGCGUAGAUAUUCGGAGGAACACCAGUGGCGAAGGCGGCUUGCUGGGCUCUAACUGACGCUGAGGCUCGAAAAGUGUGGGGAGCAAACAGGAUUAGAUACC
rnacentral:rRNA from 1 species